AUUUUAGAGGAAGUACAAGUCGUAACAAGGUCUCCGUUGGUGAACCAGCGGAGGGAUCAUUA
rnacentral:rRNA from 1 species